UACGAAGGGGGCUAGCGUUGCUCGGAAUGACUGGGCGUAAAGGGCGCGUAGGCGGCUUGCACCGUCAGAUGUGAAAUUCCUGGGCUUAACCUGGGGGCUGCAUUUGAUACGUGUGGGCUUGAGUGCGGAAGAGGGUCGUGGAAUUCCCAGUGUAGAGGUGAAAUUCGUAGAUAUUCGCAAGAACACCAGUGGCGAAGGCGGCUCACUGGCCCGGUACUGACGCUGAGGUGCGAAAGCGUGGGGAGCAAACAGG
rnacentral:rRNA from 1 species